rnacentral:rRNA from 1 species
AUACGGAGGGUGCAAGCGUUAAUCGGAAUUACUGGGCGUAAAGCGUGCGUCGGUGGUUUGUUAAGUUAGAUGUGAAAGCCCCGGGCUCAACCUGGGAACUGCAUUUGAAACUGGCAUACUCGAGUAUAGGAGAGGAAAGUGGAAUUUCAGGUGUAGCGGUGAAAUGCGUAGAUAUCUGAAGGAACAUCACUGGCGAAGGCAGCUUUCUGGACUAAUACUGACACUGAGGUACGAAAGCGUGGGUAGCAAACAGGAUUAGAAACCCCUGUAGUCC